UGGACAGAUUAUUGUAAUCGGUUGUAUUCACGACGUGAAAUAGGGGAUUACACUGUUUUUAAAACGGAAAGUAUAUCAAUUAACAUAAUAGACUCCU
rnacentral:pre_miRNA from 1 species